AUUCCACAAGGGCAAAGAGGGCUGGAGAUCUCUCAGAGGACUGGGAUCAGGGAGCAGAGCUCUGGGGACCUCUUAGAACUUCACAGUCCUCCCCAGCCAUGGUCUUCUCCACAUAUCCUAGGACACAAAGCGGAGGUAUAAGGAGGAUUAAGAGUCAACUAAUUAUAGAAAGCUGAACAUUUCAGAGUGUUUCACCAACCCAUGCCUGAUGGAGCUCUGGUUUUCUGAUGAGAAAAGUGAUAAGCAUUCAUUGUGGGAGACGUCAAAAUGCAGAAAAAUAUAAAGAAGGAAACAAAAAGCACCGCAACUCAAAGAUAAUCACUGAUAACAUUUUGGAGUAUUUCCUUCGAGACUCAUCAGCUUGCAUUCUCUCUCUGUGUCUCUUUCUCUGUCUCUCUCUGUCUCUGUCUCUCUCUCUCUCUAUUUCUCUGUCUCUUUGUCUCUCUCUGGCUCUUUCUGUCUCUCUGUCUCGCUAUCUCUCUCUCUGUCUCUGUCUCUGUCACUCUCUUUCUCUCUCUCUGUCUCUGUCUUCGUCUCUGUGUCACAAUAAAAGCAUAAGUAUGUACAGUAUA